UGUCGUUUAGCUUAAUGGUUAGAGCACUCAGCCAGUAUCUGCUGGGUACGGGUUCGAAUCCCGUAGUUGCCU
rnacentral:tRNA from 1 species